GAUGAACGCUGGCGGCGUGCCUAAUACAUGCAAGUAGAACGCUGAAGCUUGGUGCUUGCACCGAGCGGAUGAGUUGCGAACGGGUGAGUAACGCGUAGGUAACCUGCCUCUUAGCGGGGGAUAACUAUUGGAAACGAUAGCUAAUACCGCAUAAAAGUCGAUAUCGCAUGAUAUUGAUUUGAAAGGUGCAAAUGCAUCACUAAGAGAUGGACCUGCGUUGUAUUAGCUAGUUGGUGAGGUAACGGCUCACCAAGGCGACGAUACAUAGCCGACCUGAGAGGGUGAUCGGCCACACUGGGACUGAGACACGGCCCAGACUCCUACGGGAGGCAGCAGUAGGGAAUCUUCGGCAAUGGGGGCAACCCUGACCGAGCAACGCCGCGUGAGUGAAGAAGGUUUUCGGAUCGUAAAGCUCUGUUGUAAGAGAAGAACGAGUGUGAGAGUGGAAAGUUCAAACUGUGACGGUAACUUACCAGAAGGGACGGCUAACUACGUG
rnacentral:rRNA from 1 species